CAAUGAUCAGGCACUUAUUGUGUUCUGAGGAACUGGGGAAUUUUUGCUCGUUUAUUCCGACCUGAUUCGUGGAAAAGGCAAGCGUGCGCGUAUUUUGUUUGUCGUGUCGCGGUGUGUUUAAUAGUAAUUAUUUAGAAUAUUCAGGAGUUAUAGGAAAUAAUUAUUCUUGUUGUGUGUGAGUAGUACUGAAAACCAAAAAGCCGUUCGACCGCUUUUUUCCAGAUUUAAAUCUGCAGGUUCCAGGCUGACCGGAAGUACCAUUCCCGAUUUUUGUGCUCGGCGCACCGCAUCAUAACUCCAUCGUGGACCACACUUUUGACCCCACGUGUCGGGUUGGAAUCCCGGCACCAACCAAUCUCGUCGGAAAGGAGCUGCUACACAAUUACAGCGCUCCUGGUAGAGCCAGCCACACGUGAGUAACCCUAACCCUUAAAUACAUGGCCAUGUUAUGUGGGUGGGUACUUUUUGGUGAAUAUAUUGAUUGAUUUGAUUGAUUGGAGUGAUCACGUUGUUGGGGAAUGAAGCUGAAACAGUGCGAUUGAAUUUGAAUGGAGGCCGGAUCGACGCAUUAUUAGUGGGUUUAGGUUAGGUAUUUAGAGUAGGGAAAAUUAUGUAUUAGAGUAAUUAACGAAUAAAUGUUUGAGUUGAGAAAAUGUCCUAGUUAAUUUUGUGGAGAUAUUUUUGUUGUUUGGAGGAAACCUUUUUCGCUUCACAUCGUUAAUUCGUUUGUAGAGUUUUUGGUUUUUGUACUUCAAGUGUGGACUACUUGGGAGUCUCAGUCCAUCUCGGCUCGUGCUUUCUGAAGCGAUUGGGGAAGUGUAGACAGCAGGAGGAACCAGGGGAAGACGCAUUGGUGUGCGUAUCUGUGCCCUUGGUAGAAUCUGCGAACUUCUCCCAGUCACCGUGUUGGAAACAGAGCAGAGAAUCGGGAACGUGUACAGGUGUAGGUGUCAGGAAGGGUCAGCUUUCAGCGCGCUACAUUCUAUUAUUAACACGUUGAGUGCCACGCGGUUUUAUAGCGACUUUCCCGUCAGGUCGCGCGCACGCCCGUUUCGUGUGCAGCAAAUGCGAAGCAGAAUA